CAAUUUUCCUCCUCAUCAGUCAGCAUGUUCACAUUGCCGUAUAUGCACUUUGCUAGUGCAAAAUCAUUGGAAACAUAACAUUCCUUCCUUUUGAAAUCUUAACUGCAUGUUUUGUUAAACCUACAUGCCUCUUUCUUAUUCGGGAUCUAUAAUGAAUGCAUACUUCUCUCGGGUUCCUGUCCUAACUCCCCCCACCCAAGAGAGAACACCAAAACCUAACACACUCAUUGCCAGAGCCAAGCAGCCGAACUCCACUUGGUACUGACUCUGCAUAAAUGAAUACCUAGCUUUCGUAUUUACAGCUAAUUGAUACACGUUCGUUUUGCCUUUUAGCUUCUCCUGAAAAACAUCCUCACUCGAAGCCUCCAGUUGGAGUGACCAAUGUUCGUAAAAUAAAAGUUGGAACAAAGGAUUUGCCAACGUCCAGAUCAGAUUUGUCAACAGAACAAGACUUAGAAAUGAAGUCAGAGGAAGAGCAAGAAAGGCCUGCUGGAAAUGAAAAUAACCACCCACAGGUUGAAGCAGAAAAGAAGGAGCACAGAAGCAGUGUGAUGGAAGCGUCAGAGAGCAGAUGUGAUGCUGAUGA
rnacentral:lncRNA from 1 species